CAAAUGCUAUCCAAUUUUAAUUCCUUCAGGCAAGAGGAUUCCACAAGGAAGGAUUAUGUCAAGCAGAUGAAGUCAGAUUCGAUUUUAGUUCUUAUUAUGGAUGCAAUGACUUCCUGAUUGGCGAUUUGGUUGAGACUCGUAGACGAGAUCUGACUGGCGUUUUUAGAACAGAGGAGCAGUCUAGACCCAUUAAGCAAGUGAUCAAAGAGAAAGAUUCAUAUUCAGGUUCUGACUUGUAUUCGGAUGGAUUGGAUAUCCUAGAGCAAUUGAUAAGGAAAAGGCAAGAGAACUAAAAGAUACAGAGGUAGAAUUGCAGCUCAAUAUCAAAGACAAAUCAUAUGAGUUUAGAUUGCCUAUAGAAGAGGCACUUCUCCAUUAAUUCUACUUUGAAGUUUUCGUGGUUCAUUUUGAAUUUGGAAACUUGAGCCUCUUAUGAUUUUCCUUUAGGAGCUUCAAGAAAAGGCAUAGUGACCACCAGAUCUUACAAAACUUCAGCGCAGAAUAAAAGAGAGUGUGCUAUCUCUCCGUCAAUCUUCUGCAUUUUCUCCUCUCUCUCUCUCUCUCUCUCUCUCUCUCUCUCUCUCUCUCUCU